UUUACUCCCACCGCAAAUGAAUAGGAAGCAGAUUCAGAAGCUUUUUUUUUACUUUUCUUUCGUGGUGAGUAGAACUAGGGCUUCAUCCCAUUAGGUCGAGUAGUGAAGACGAAGAUCUUCGUAGUGAACAGGAGGCAUGAACAAAAAAAACUUGAAGGACAAAUCCGAGCACGAAGAGAGUUCAGAUGAUAAUUUUGUUGCCGUGCAUCCAAGAGUUCAAAUUGCGAGCCUAAUGGAUGUACGUCGCAAGCGAAGAGGAUUGAAUGAUGAAUAAGUGUGCAAUAACUUAUGGAUAUGCACUAACUAGAAGUGGUUUAAAGAUUGUCACGUUGAUGUUGAAUUUGCUUUGGAAACUCCAUGUUCAAACAUGUGUUUUAAAACAAUUAGUAGGUAGUAUCAUUUAUUUUAUCAGGUGGCCAGUUCAACAAUGUGAUUAAUGUGUAUAAAAAUUUAUUUAUUCGUAUUA